rnacentral:rRNA from 1 species
GACGUAGGGCGCAAGCGUUGUCCGGAUUGAUUGGGCGUAAAGAGCUCGUAGGCGGUUUGUCGCGUCUGCUGUGAAAACCUAAGGCUCAACCUUGGGCUUGCAGUGGGUACGGGCAGACUAGAGUGCGGUAGGGGUGACUGGAAUUCCUGGUGUAGCGGUGGAAUGCGCAGAUAUCAGGAGGAACACCGAUGGCGAAGGCAGGUCACUGGGCCGCAACUGACGCUGAGGAGCGAAAGCAUGGGGAGCGAACAGG